AUGGCACUCCGGAGGCUGCUUCAGGGGAUUGUCCUACCGCGGACGACGGGCCGGCAUGUUGGGGCAUCGUUUUCCACGGAGGCUGGGGAGACUAUCCGCGCAACCCUGUUUCCUGGUGAUGGCAUCGGGCCUGAGAUCGCCGAGUCGGUCAAGCAGGUAUUCAAUGUUGCAGGUGUACCGAUAGAAUGGGAAGAACAUUAUGUUGGUACGGAAGUUGAUCCCAGAACAGAGAGCUUUUUGACAUGGGAGAGCCUGGAGUCGGUGCGUAGAAACAAAGUUGGCUUGAAAGGUCCUAUGGCUACACCUAUUGGAAAAGGCCACCGUUCUUUGAAUCUUACAUUAAGGAAAGAACUUGGACUCUACGCCAAUGUCAGACCUUGCAACAGCCUCCCAGGCUACAAGACUAGAUAUGAUGAUGUGAACCUUGUGACAAUCCGUGAAAAUACUGAAGGAGAGUAUAGUGGCCUUGAGCAUCAGGUUGUGAGGGGUGUUGUGGAAAGUUUGAAAAUUAUUACCCGCCAAGCAAGUUUGAGAGUGGCAGAUGGACUUUUCCUCAAGUGUUGCCGUGAAGUAGCUGAGAAGUACCCUGAAAUCACAUAUGAGGAAGUCAUUAUUGACAAUUGCUGCAUGACACUCGUGAAGAAUCCUGGUACAUUUGAUGUAUUAGUGAUGCCAAAUCUGUAUGGUGACAUUAUUAGUGAUCUAUGUGCUGGUUUGAUUGGAGGCUUGGGCUUAACUCCCAGCUGCAACAUUGGUGAAGGUGGCAUUUGUCUGGCAGAGGCUGUUCAUGGUUCUGCACCUGAUAUCUCUGGCAAGAACCUUGCAAACCCAACUGCUCUUAUGUUGAGUGCUGUUAUGAUGUUGCGCCACUUGCAAUUCAAUGACCAAGCAGACCGGAUCCACAAUGCCAUCCUCCAGACAAUUGCCGAGGGGAAGUACAGAACCGCUGAUCUUGGUGGGAAGUCAUCAACGUCAGACUACACAAAAGCAGUUUGCGAUCAUAUCUGA
rnacentral:rRNA from 1 species